CCCUGUCUUUAAGUUGAAGGAGAAGUCAUUCUUCUUUCAAGUCUUCCACUUUACUUUUACUCAAACCAGACAUCAAAUGUGUAUGCUUCAAACAUAAAAAUAAAAUUUUGGAGGAAGAUUUAUUUAUUUUAUUCUAUAUUAUUAAGUAUUUAGAAUACUGUAAUUUAUUUUAAAAAUGAUAACUACUAAAACUAGUUAUAACAACAACAUAGGGAACGAAAAUUACAUUCACCUUUCGGAAAUCCUAACCAUAAACAUCUUACGGCACAAUCAGUACAUAGUCCACCCAUGCACAUUUCCGCUAUAUCGUUACCAGUUGCUCCUGUUAAAAAAAAUUCUCAAACUCAAAAUUUCUUUAUUUAUUUUAACAAUGAUGUACAAAAUAGAAUUUAAAAGGACAAGUUAAUAGUUUUUUACCAGAAGAUAGGAGCAACAUAAUGCAUAAAAGUCUCAACAGAAAAAGUUUGCAAAUGUGCAUUGUGAUUUUUUCUAAGAUUUUAUAUUCUAU
rnacentral:lncRNA from 1 species